rnacentral:rRNA from 1 species
AUUGAACGCUGGCGGCAGGCCUAACACAUGCAAGUCGAGCGGUAGCACAGGGAGCUUGCUCUCGGGUGACGAGCGGCGGACGGGUGAGUAAUGUCUGGGAAACUGCCUGAUGGAGGGGGAUAACUACUGGAAACGGUAGCUAAUACCGCAUAAUGUCGCAAGACCAAAGUGGGGGACCUUCGGGCCUCAUGCCAUCAGAUGUGCCCAGAUGGGAUUAGCUAGUAGGUGGGGUAACGGCUCACCUAGGCGACGAUCCCUAGCUGGUCUGAGAGGAUGACCAGCCACACUGGAACUGAGACACGGUCCAGACUCCUACGGGAGGCAGCAGUGGGGAAUAUUGCACAAUGGGCGCAAGCCUGAUGCAGCCAUGCCGCGUGUGUGAAGAAGGCCUUCGGGUUGUAAAGCACUUUCAGCGGGGAGGAAGGCGUUAAGGUUAAUAACCUUGGCGAUUGACGUUACCCGCAGAAGAAGCACCGGCUAACCCCGUGCCAGCCGCCGCUGUAA